UACGUAGGGGGCAAGCAUUGUCCGGAAUCAUUGGGCGUAAAGAGCGUGUAGGCGGUUCAGUAAGUCUGCUGUGAAAGUCCCAGGGCUCAACCCCUGGGAUGCCGGUGGAUACUGCUGGGCUAGAGUACGGAAGAGGCGAGUGGAAUUCCCGGUGUAGCGGUGAAAUGCGCGAUAGCGGGAGGAACACCCUACUUGCGAAGGCAGCUCGCUGGGACGUCACUGACGCUGAGACGCGAAAGCGUGGGGAGCAA
rnacentral:rRNA from 1 species